GACUGCUUGGGGUUAGGCUGGGCAUCGGUCAGCGGGUGAUGUACAAGUCCUCAGCUUCACUGUAUCUUUAUUCAUGUUCAAGAUGGGUUUGAAGCAUCUUUAAAUCCUUGGUUGAGUUCUGCUUCUUUUUGCAGCAAAGGUUGCACAACCUGUGGAAGUUUCCGAAAGGUUGAGAAGUGCUCUUCUCUCUCUCAGUAAAUCACAAUGUUACAGGAACUGGUCAGAGAAACUUCUUUAGAACUCUGAAUUUAAGAAAGCCCAAUUAAAGAAAGCUGGACAUUAGUCAUGUAUGUUAACACAUCAGAUGAAAGCCAGUACAUCAACAGUCAGAGCUUCUGUCCACUUGUUUCUCAAUUGUCUGGCCUUGUGACAGUUAGGAUGCACGGCUGGCUCCUUGAUGCAGAAGACUGUAAAAUGUUUGAUGCUGUGAAGGUGCAUAACCCCAUCUAGGAGUUGAAAAUAUCUUGGCAACUGCUUUUGCACUUUCACCAAUUGUUCAAGACUAAAAACAUUUGAAAGUGUUUUUUUCAUUGCUGUAUGAAUUAUGCACCUGUAUUUCAAAUAAAUAUGUUGUAAAAUUUUUACCACAAUGAAAUAUGUGAAAGGAUUAAGGAAGACAGAAUUAACUAAAUUGAAAAACCUGACCUGCUUUACAAAUAUAUUGUAACUAAGUGAUGCCUUCUACAGAAAAAUGUAUAAUAUGCUUAAAGACUGUUUAAAAUAAAUAUUUCUAUUCAGUUGUUCUGCUUGGAAUUAAAUGAAUUACAUGAAUCAUUUGCCUUUAAAUAUAAUCAAAAAACUAUUUGUAGCAGCACUGCACUAAAAAUAAUAUUGGAUGCUAGAUUUCACUAGUAUUAAAAACUGAUUAAGGCCACUUGUAACUUCAUGCCAGAAACUAUCACAGGACUAGCUAUAGAGGUGGACGGCAGCUGUCCCUCUCAGCAACAACCAGUCGAUAACCUGGUUUAUACCAUUUGCAUGACAGUGAGCAAUCUUAAUCUAGUUUUGCUAGGCAAUGAAGGAAAAACUUCCCUUUGAAUACUAUGAUUUCAAUUUCUCUCUCUCUUUUUGCUCAAUUAUUUAUGGGAAAAAUGAUUUUCUGAGAAAAAUGAUUUUUCAGGGAUUUGGACAUCGUAGGGAAAGGAGUCAAAUAUAUAGCAAAGUUCCAAGUUUGAAUUACACUACUUUUCCCACAAUUGAUACCGCUGGCUUUAACUAAGUCACAAUAUAGUUUUAUGUGUAUAGACUCUGUACUACAGGAGUGAAGACUGUCAGUCUAAGACCGCCAAAGUCUUAGUCCACAAUUUCAAUUAUCUUUGCAGAGCCUGCUACUACAACUUUUGGCUUUAAUGUGGUACCACAAGAAAACCAGAAAAAGGCCACAUUCCAAAAUGUUACCGUCCUAUUUGAACAAUUCAUCCAACAGGAAGACUUCUAUGGAAGUCGAAAAAUAAACAAACAACAUGCCUAAAUUAAGUUUGAAAAGUAGAACUUUAUUAACAAGCACGUGAAAAAGAAAAAACAACAAGCCUUUCUGAAUUCAGCUGCCAUACUCAGACCCGUAAAAUAAGGUAUCUUUAAAUAUGGCAGUCUAUCUUUUUCAGGUCAUUGCCACCAGUAGCCACUGUAACAUAAAUUGUUGCCAUAAACUGAAAAUACUGUAAUUGCUAGUUCAUGUGUUGUCAGUCAGGUAAAAAGUCAAAAGAAUACAAGAGUAACUAAAAUAAAGGAUAAAUUAAAUCUACCAAGUGUUUUUUUUUUUCAAUUCAUAUUAGACUUAAAAUUGUGUUUCAAGAACGUAAAAAAAAAAAAAAA